rnacentral:rRNA from 1 species
UGGGGGAUCUUGCGCAAUGGGCGAAAGCCUGACGCAGCGACACCGCGUGAGGGACGACGGCCCUCGGGUUGUAAACCUCUUUCGGCAGGGACGAAGCGAUCGUGACGGUACCUGCAGAAGAAGCUCCGGCUAACUACGUGCCAGCAGCCGCGGUAAGACGUAGGGAGCGAGCGUUGUCCGGAUUCAUUGGGCGUAAAGAGCGCGCAGGCGGCUUGGUAAGUCGGAUGUGAAAACCCGGAGCUCAACUCCGGGCGUGCAUCCGAAACUGCCCGGCUAGAGGUAGGUAGGGGAGAUCGGAAUUCCUGGUGUAGCGGUGGAAUGCGCAGAUAUCAGGAGGAACACCGGUGGCGAAGGCGGAUCUCUGGGCCUUACCUGACGCUCAGGCGCGAAAGCUAGGGGAGCAAACAGGAUUAGAUACCCUGGUAGUCCUAGCUGUAAACGUUGGGUGCUAGGUGUGGGUGGACAUCGACCCAUCCGUGCCGAAGCUAACGCAUUAACG